CUUGAGUGCAGAAGGGGAGAGUGGAAUUCCAUGUGUAGCGGUGAAAUGCGUAGAUAUAUGGAAGAACACCAGUGGCGAAGGCGGCUGUCUGGUCUGUAACUGACGCUGAGGCUCGAAAGCAUGGGUAGCGAACAGGAUUAGAUACCCUGGUAGUCCAUGCCGUAAACGAUGAAUGCUAGGUGUUGGAGGGUUUCCGCCCUUCAGUGCCGCAGCUAACGCAUUAAGCAUUCCGCCUGGGGAGUACGACCGCAAGGUUGAAACUCAAAGGAAUUGACGGGGGCCCGCACAAGCGGUGGAGCAUGUGGUUUAAUUCGAAGCAACGCGAAGAACCUUACCAGGUCUUGACAUCCUUUGAUCACCUGAGAGAUCAGGUUUCCCCUUCGGGGGCAAAAUGACAGGUGGUGCAUGGUUGUCGUCAGCUCGUGUCGUGAGAUGUUGGGUUAAGUCCCGCAACGAGCGCAACCCUUAUGACUAGUUGCCAGCAUUUAGUUGGGCACUCUAGUAAGACUGCCGGUGACAAACCGGAGGAAGGUGGGGAUGACGUCAAAUCAUCAUGCCCCUUAUGACCUGGGCUACACACGUGCUACAAUGGAUGGUACAACGAGUUGCGAGACCGCGAGGUCAAGCUAAUCUCUUAAAGCCAUUCUCAGUUCGGACUGUAGGCUGCAACUCGCCUACACGAAGUCGGAAUCGCUAGUAAUCGCGGAUCAGCACGCCGCGGUGAAUACGUUCCCGGGCCUUGUACACACCGCCCGUCACACCAUGAGAGUUUGUAACACCCGAAGCCGGUGGCGUAACCCUUUUAGGGAGCGAGCCGUCUAAGGUGGGACAAAUGAUUAGGGUGAAGUCGUAACAAGGUAACC
rnacentral:rRNA from 1 species